AGAGUUUGAUCAUGGCUCAGAGCGAACGCUGGCGGCAUGCUUAACACAUGCAAGUCGCACGGCCCGCAAGGGCAGUGGCGGACGGGUGAGUAACGCGUAGGUAUCUAUCUCCGGGUGGGGGACAACUGUGGGAAACUACAGCUAAUACCGCAUGAUGCCCGAGGGCCAAAGGCGCAAGUCGCCUGGAGAGGAGCCUGCGUACGAUUAGCUUGUUGGCGGGGUAAAGGCCCACCAAGGCGACGAUCGUUAGCUGGUCUGAGAGGAUGAUCAGCCACACUGGGACUGAGACACGGCCCAGACUCCUACGGGAGGCAGCAGUGGGGAAUAUUGGACAAUGGGCGCAAGCCUGAUCCAGCAAUGCCGCGUGAGUGAAGAAGGUCUUCGGAUUGUAAAGCUCUUUCGACGGGGACGAUGAUGACGGUACCCGUAGAAGAAGCCCCGGCUAACUUCGUGCCAGCAGCCGCGGUAAUACGAAGGGGGCUAGCGUUGCUCGGAAUGACUGGGCGUAAAGGGCGCGUAGGCGGUUCGUACAGUCAGACGUGAAAUUCCCGGGCUCAACCUGGGGGCUGCGUUUGAUACGUGCGGGCUUGAGUUCGGAAGAGGGUCGUGGAAUUCCCAGUGUAGAGGUGAAAUUCGUAGAUAUUGGGAAGAACACCGGUGGCGAAGGCGGCGACCUGGUCCGAUACUGACGCUGAGGCGCGAAAGCGUGGGGAGCAAACAGGAUUAGAUACCCUAGUAGUCC
rnacentral:rRNA from 1 species